UUUUUUUUUUUUUUUGUCUUUUUGCCUUUUCUUGUCAUUCCUGCGCACAAAUAAGGUUAAAAUGCAGAUCCAGGAUGUAAACUCAGGCGGUUUGGUUCUGGAGUCCUUGCCUAACAUAACCACAUGUCAUCCAGUCCACCAAGCCUAAUCUUGAUGUAGCCUUCUCUUUGUAAAGCUUUUUCACCUGCAAAUAUAUAAUGAAGUUAAAUGCCUAUACACAAUGAGGUAAUACUCUAUCCAUCCUAUGUUAUAAUUGGCUUUCUGAAUUUAGUAAUAAGAAUCAACUUAUUAAAGCAUUAGUAUCUUUAAUAGCUAUGUAAUGGCCAAUCUUAUGAAGAUAUCAUGGUUGUUAAAUAUUAUUGUGAUAGAAAAAAAAUUGAGUUUUAUCCCAGUUUUUCCACUAUUACAAAAUACUGGGCUGUACCUUUUUUAAGUACAUGUUUUAAAACACUGAUCCUAAUCCUUUCCUUAGGAAAAAUAGACGUGCUGUGUCAAAAGUUAUUUUUUUCUCUCUUACUCCCUCUAUAAAAAUUGCUCUAUCUUUCUGAUUUUUAAAGGAAACACAAGCUCAUGGCAAAAAAUAAAUCAGGGCAAAGCAGAGAAGAAAAUAAAUAACCCGUAAUUAUUAAUAUAAACAACACUGUCAGGAACAUCCUGUUCCUCACAUUUUUAUGCACUUAUCCUGAUUUCUUUAGCAUAAAUUUCUAGAAUUGCUGGGGUAAUGCACAUUGACAUUUUGAUAGACAUGCCCAAUUAGUAUACCUGUUUUUAAGACCUUUAAUUUCUAUUGUCAUACUGCCCUAGAUAUCUGUAGUAAUAGCUACUUUUUGAAUAAGUGAGGACUCAAAUAUGGGCAUAUAUAACCCAACAUAAAGCCAACUGUUACAUAUUUAUGACAGGAACACACUGAAUUUUGUAUCUACCGGUGCCAUCAUUAUAAAUAAUCUCAUCACCUUAAAUCAUCUUUUUAAAACUAUAGGUAAAAUUAUUGGAGCCUACGAGUUUUGUUUUGUUUUUUUUUUAAUGGUGAAUAUUUAUUUAUUUAUUUUUUACAGAUUCUUUGAAGUGAAAUUUACAUGUUCAAAAGUUCACCCACUUUAAAGUGUACAGUUCAGUGAUUUUUUUUAAGCAAAUGUACAGGGUUGUGCAACCAUCACCACAAUCCAAUUUUAGAAUAUUUUCAUCACCCUCUAAAAGAUUCUUUGUGCCUACCCUUAACUUCAGGCAGUCACUAAUCUACUUGCUGUUUCUGUUGUCCUAUUUUUAAUAUAAAUGGCUUUUAAUGUAAAUGCAAUCCUGCCAUUUGUGGCCUGGCUUGUUUCAUUAAGUAUGUUUUCAAGGUUCACCCAUGUUGCGGCAUGUAUCAGUACUCCAUUCUCUUUUUAUAGCUAAUAUCCCAUUGUAUGAAAAUACUGCCUCUUGUUUAUCCAUUCAUCAGUUUAUGUAGAGUUCACAAAUUUUGCAUGAAAAAUUUUUUUCUUUGAAGGAUAAGAAUUUUUUUUUUUUUAGUGCUUGGAUUGUAUUGAGAGAAAUAGGCUUCACUUUUGAUGAUAAAAGAUUUAGAAUCAGAAGAACUGAGCUUUAUUUCUGGACCAGGUAUUUCUCUGUCUAUACGACCUUGGCUCGUUUUAAUCUUUCCAUCUAUCAGUGGAGAAAAAAAUACCAUCAUUGCCUCACACUAUUAUAAGAAUUAAAUGAGAUAAUACCCUAGGUGAAAAUACCUUAGUACUUUGGAAACUACAAAACAGUAUACAAAUAAACAGGUAUCAUCAAUAACAAUAGUAAUACUACUUGUAAAUUUUUCAGGUAGAGUUCCUUCUGAUUACUCCUCAAAUUAUAGAUGGACUGGUUGAGUAGACAUCCCCUUAAAGCUCUGUGCCUCUUUUCUUCUUAAAAUACUGGGGCUUCUUCAUGUGAAAUAAAAAUUUCAGGAGACUUUAUGGACUUGUAAUCUUGGAUCUUGGAGAAAAGAGACCUGUAUUCCUGCAUACUCCCAGAUCCUACUUAAUUCUACUCCAAACCUUGUACCACAUCAUUUCCUAAGGCCAGACUGGGCUGAGUAAUAACAACCUUUUGGCAGAUCAAAUUUCAAUUUUAAAAUUCAGGAAGCAAAGCCAUGUUCUGACCUUCCUUCUUUCUUAAAUUAUAGCUGAAUGUCCCUUUUCUGUUUUUAGGCCAGUGAAAUGCCUGGUUUGUGCCAGACCAAAGGGAAGCCGGGCCCCUCCUCUGUAUACAUCACUGUCAUAAACCCAGGCAGUCUGGUGAGGCAGCUACUUAUGAAAUAAUAGCGCAGCAUUAAGUGCCCCACACCUGAAGUCAGGCUCUUUGGAAGAUAUUAUCCAGGAUUUUGUUGUUGUUGUUGUUAGGGGUUUUGUUUUUCUGAUUGUUCCUAAAAAUAUCUGUGUUACGUUUAUCCAGUACUUCCAUUGACCCAGCUGCUUGGAAUCUGGUGAACUGUCAACAGGAUAUCAUUUCUUUCAGAACUUGUUAUUCUGCUGGAACUGUGCUCUGCUGUUCUGUGAUUGAGUGAGCCACCAGAGAACCCCUGCACUUAACUUUCUAGACUAGUGUGAGUUCUCUCUGUCGCCCAGGAUCUAAUUAGGGCUGGUAUCUCUCAAGUAACUGGUUUAACGUGUGUAGCUUAUUAAAAGUCUACCACUGACAAAUAAUAUGGGGCUAGCCUGUAGGAGCUAUUGUAGAGCCCCUUUCGUGGUAAGAUUUCAAGUCAGGGAGGGUCCUUUGGUUUCCUAACAGAACAUCAGCCCUCAGGACCCACACACUGCACUUGACAUGCCAUCAGCAACCUUCAUCCUUCGCGAGGAAAGCAGUUUGCAGGGCAAGUUGGUUAUCAGUUACUCCAUGUUUUCCAAGAGCUAUCAUUUUACCAUGUUAGUCCCAGGAUCCAGCUUGCUUAGACUAUGCUAACUCAGAUGUGCACAGAUGUGCCUUUACCAGCAGAGUUGAGUUGCAGCAUCUGGACUUUGCCUUCUAUCAACAGUCGAAGGAGGAAAUGGCCACUGGGCUUCAGCUGAGGUCGCCCUUCCUUAUUUCUGAGCUUAGUUUAUGGAGGGACGAUGCCAUAAAUUCUUUGAGCUCGGCCAGAGAAAAUGGGCCAUCUCUCCUGACAGAUCCAUCUGCUUCCAUGUUGAUGAAAUUGAGAAUUCCUAACCUAUCAUGUUUCCUUUUUAGCUGUGGUCUCCUAAGUGGAGAGCCAAAAUUAGUGCUUCGUUACAGUACCUCUCAUCUCUAUUUCCUGGUGGUUAUCUCCUCUUUCUUCCAUGUGGAUUAGUUCUUCUUUUCUUUACUUCAACGAUCCUGUACAUGUGUUUAUUUUAAGCCAUUUUAAAUCCUUUAUGGAAGUAGGUAGAGUUCAGAUGAUAAAUAAAGUGGCAUUGCUUGUAUUAUUGUCAUAGUCACGUUAUUGAUUGGUCUUUGGUGUUAAGUCUCUUGCUUCCCUCUGAAAUUCUUUAUUUUUGUUUCCUUCACAUUUGGAUGGGGAUUAAAAAACAGGAAUAUGAGUGAAAAAGGAAUAUGAUCCUCAGCUGAAGCCGGGAACCAUUUUUAUAGUUUCGAGUUACAAAGCCCAUUGCGCAAAUAUUUUUAUUUUCAUGUAAAUCAAAGAGCCAUCACUUCUCUCAGGGACAGUUUAAGAGCUGGAAUAAAUGGCUAGUGGACUUCAGGGGCCAGGGCUCCCCAGGAGGCUUCAGUGUUAGAAUUCAUAAAGCAUCUUUUCGUUGAAGGUCAUAUAUGGGUGAGGAGUUGCUUUUUUAAGCAGCAACCAAGGCUUAUGACUUGGAGAUAAAACUCAGACACCCUCAUGCACUGUACGUAAGAUCUGAUAUGAGUACUGGGGUUGCCUGGUUAGAGUGACUUAAAGACUUUAGGAUAAGGUGAUGGUUCUUGGUCACUGGAAGUGGGAGAAAACUCCAAAGGCAUCCAGCAAGAAUGGUGGAGAGACUAUCAGGGAAAACAAUAUAUAUAAAUAAAAAAAGAAGGGGAAAGCAAGGUGGAGACAGCAGGACCCAGGGAGGCUUGUGGGAUGAGAAGAGGGAUGUGGGAGAGAGAGCUCAUAGCUUAGGGAAACAUGGAAUCAGCAUCCCCUUUACGUGGAACAUCUUUCCAAGGUCUGGACCACUCCCUUAGGAUUAAGUGGAAAAUUGCUAUUCAAAGGGGAAGUGCAUCCAUGUACUGCUAUAUUAUUUUAAACUUAGAAUAAUGUGUUUGCCUAUUGCUAGAAGACACCCAUUCCCCUUCCCUUUUUUUUUUUUUUUUUUUUGUCUUUCUGCCUUUUCUAGGGCUGCUCCCGCAGCCUGUGGAGGUUCCCAGGCUAGGGGUCUAAUUGGAGCUACAGCUGCCGGCCUACGCCAGAGCCACAGCAAUGCGGGAUCCAAGCUGCAACUGCAACCUUCACCACAGCUCAUGGCAACGCCAGAUCGUCAACCCACUGAGCAAGGGCAGGGAUCGAACCUGCAACCUCAUGGUUCCUGGUUGGAUUUGUUAACCACUGAGCCACAACGGAAACUCCAUCCCAUCCCCCCUUUUAAAGCAGAAUGGCUCUGACACUGGCUUUCAGGAAUGAAGAUACUUCCAUUUGUGUCUGUUCUAGUCAGGUCUUUUCUGGGUACAUGAAACAGAAACCAGCGUGAGCUGGCUUGAGGAAAUGGGGGUUUAUUUGCAGCAUACAAAUUGGUUCUCAUGGGAGUGACUUGAGACUCCCACGAACAGGAACCUUUGCAGC
rnacentral:lncRNA from 1 species